GAUGAACGCUAGCGGCAGGCUUAACACAUGCAAGUCGAGGGGUAUUGGUUUUCGGACCAAGAGACCGGCGCACGGGUGCGUAACGCGUAUGCAAUCUACCUUUUGCAGAGGGAUAGCCCCAGAGAAAUUUGGAUUAAUACCUCAUAGUAUAGUACUUUGGCAUCAAGGAACUAUUAAAGUCACAACAGCAAAGAUGAGCAUGCGUCCCAUUAGCUAGUUGGUAAGGUAACGGCUUACCAAGGCUACGAUGGGUAGGGGUCCUGAGAGGGAGAUCCCCCACACUGGUACUGAGACACGGACCAGACUCCUACGGGAGGCAGCAGUGAGGAAUAUUGGACAAUGGGCGCAAGCCUGAUCCAGCCAUGCCGCGUGCAGGAUGACGGUCCUAUGGAUUGUAAACUGCUUUUAUACAGGAAGAAACACUCCGACGUGUCGGAGCUUGACGGUACUGUAAGAAUAAGGAUCGGCUAACUCCGUGCCAGCAGCCG
rnacentral:rRNA from 1 species